UGGGCCGUAGCUGGGGAGAUCCGCGAGAAGGGCCCAGCGCACAUCCAGAGUCGCCGCCACGCACCACCUACGAAAAACCUACAGUGUUACUGUAAUUGCUGCAUUCGCUGUAAACAGAAAACUUUGGUUUCUGACCAUGACUGGCAUUAUGAUUUUGUUGUUCCAUGGGAAAAAUGCCAGCAAGUUUUAUGAAGAAGAUUAAAAGUGAGUUGCUCUGAAAUCCUGGAAGUCAGUAAAUGUCCAACAAAAAAACAUGUAUCAGAAAUAGCCUGAAAAAUUAUGACUGCAUACCCAAAGUCCUUUAGAGAUGAGAUUAAUUCCCAGAUUGUAGGAAGUGAAUAUGACUCUCUCCUUAAACAACUAGUCUGUUGAAUUGACAAUUUAAAAAGAGCAAAAACUACCACUAGACCACUUUGUGAUAUGCCAGAAGAGUCAAAGAAAUGGAAAAUGGAGUAUGGUUGUAUAAAUUCAGAUCCCCAGUUGCCAGUUGGAGAAACGUCACAAUUGCAGCAGGAAAAAAAGAGAAAUUGCUUGAAAUGUUUUAAAAUAAGGAAAGCAAUGUAAGGACAAUCUACAACUUGAUGACUGCUACCUACACCUCCAAAAGAAAUGACAUCCAAUCUGGAAAGGAAACCACAGAGUUACUUGAUGAGUGGCCAUAUCUUUUCCAGGCAGCAGGAAUGAAAGCACAUUUUAAAGACCUCACUGGCAUUGACAUGAACGACAACUUUGAAGAAGCCACUACCAGUAAAUUCAGAAGAAUAUCAGAGUACUUUUAGUUUCAGUGCACAGAGAGUGCAAACAGAGCAGGAAGAAUCCUCACCAAGAUUAGAACUGGAGGGGAUCAUGUUUGUGGGGCAGUGAUGUUGCUGCUUGCCCAUUUCAAAAAUGACCUAGACAGGUUUCUUGUGAUGGUAGAAGACACUUGUGUUCCAAACGAUAUAUGGCCAGUGCAGUUUCCACCUACUUCAUGUAUAUUAGUGUGUGAUGAGUAUCAUUUAAUAUGAUCACUUAAUUUUUAAUCUUACACCAAAAAAUUACUGAUUGUGGUUGACUUGAUAUGAAAUCUGCAGAAUUCACAUUCUGUACAUUUUAUUCCUUGCUGAUUUUUGUUUGUUCAAAGGAGAGAACCCACCCACAGCCAGUGUAUACAUGGUAGCAGUAGACCAGAUGAUUGUGAAUGACCAUCUGUUGAGUUUUCCUGAGGGCCUGUAUCUGAUGUUUUCCCUCUACUACAUAUUUGAACAUCAGUUACCCUGUAGAACUGGGGGCCACGCUAGAAUUCUUGCAAAGGUGCAUCUUCAGGAUAAAUCCUCAUAAAGGUACCAAAGUGCAAAAGAGAGAGAGAAAGCAAGUGUACCCUGUCCACUCAAAAGUAUUGAGUCUCACAUCAAAAAUUGCUGCAUUUGACUGGGGAGACUAACAGAUGCAUCCAUUCAGAAAAGUGACAUUUGUCUCAACAGUACAGGACAAACUUUUUGUAUUGUAAUGCAAUCCCUUUGUUCCUUCCUUUUAUUUUUAUUUAUUCAUUUUAAUGUACACCUUUGUGUCCCGAAGCAUGGCUUCUGCUGGAAAUGUUAUUUAUUUCCAUUGUUUUAUUUUAAAAGCUUGUUAUAUAGUUAAACAGCUUGUUGACUUGUUUACAGAAACACUCUGGCUAUCAUAAUUUAAUAAGUUUAGUCUUAGUACUUUUAUAUUUUAUUAUUUUGUAUAAUUUCAUAUUUUAUGAUAUUGUUCACUGCACAAUGCUGGACAGGAAUAUGUAGCAGUAAAUGGACAAAAAUGAAUAUGAUUAGUUAUGCCUCCUAGAUUGUAGAUGCAAUGGAAUGUACAUUGUUUUGAUCUUAAGAUAAAUACUUGACCUGAUGUCAAGUGACCUUGACAAUAAAAUGUGAUUAAGAAUACAAAAGCGGUUUUCUGUUUUAGUGUAUUUUGUAAAGGUGCAAUAAAAUGUCAUUAUCAAAGGCAUUUUUAAUUUAGCCUUUUCUUUAUUUUUAAUAUUAUUUUUUAUGUAAGGCUGUUAAAGAGCACAUAGAGCAUAUCCCUGUAUUUUGUGGAAAGUAAUACAUUUAAGUGUUACAUUUUCUAGGGCCAUCUGCUAUCUGUUUGUGGCAUUAGUGUUUAAAACUACUGUCAGGGUUUACUGAAUACAUGUGAUGAAAUGUCAUGGACAAUGAUCUUUGCAGCUUGACCUCACUGCAUAUGCAUUUGUAGGAAUUUCCCUUUAUAAACUUUAAUACCCGCGAGGCAAUUUAUUUCCAUUUUUAAAUAUCUCCUAAUUGAAAACAAAUGUCUUUUUGAUCUGAUGUGUGAUGGGAAAAGAGAAUCAUUUUGGCUUAAGGCAGAUUUGAACUCGUGUCGAUUGUAUCAAAGGCUGCCAUAUCGCUUCACACCCUAUGCCCUACGCCAGCUUAGUCUUAGUUAGUUUGUUGUAUUUUUGUAGUGUUGUCUACACCAACCAGAUAUUGGUGGACGGAGCUAGUGUAAAUGGCCUCUGCCAACAAGGUGUUAUAUGAAAUAUGUGCAAUAAGGAUUGCAGAAAAAUAACAUGAUGUACAGAAAUCGAUUUCUAUUGUACAUUGGUUUUAUUUUAUUGACAGAUUAAUUUUUUUUUAUCAUCAAUAUAGCUGCUGUGCUCCAAUGGGCUGGGGGUAGAAUUCUCGUCGAAGGAGUCAGAGGUUCUUACCUCGCACCUGAUCUUAUAUAUGUUUUUUUUUUUAUCAUCAUAAAAACCAAAGAUGUUAAUCCAUGAUUGUAUAUCAAGAAUACAAACACAUUUGUGUGCAUUUUAUUGUGUGAUUUCACCACAACAAAUUCAGGGUCUCUUAAGCGACUGAUUGAAGCGCUCCUCUGCGUGAACUGUGAAGACUGUACACGAGCCACAAGGGAACACUGACUGUUGCCUUCAGCCACUGAUAACAGCAGCAACGAGCACUCAGUAGGCUAUGUUUUCAGAAACAACACAUUCCAGCGCCUGAUCGCCUCUUUAACAAACUAGUAAUAUGAAGGCCCUGCUAUCUAAAAUCGCUAUUGGGUACAUCCGUGCAGCGAGGUGUUUCAAAAAGUGGUGGGGACAAAAUCGCUCCUUGGCAAAACAUGGUGGUGACGUCUAACCGGUGUCACCGCAAAUUACGCUUUUUCCAGUAACACAUAUAAUAAUCAGUGAAAUAGCUGACAAAAUGUAGACUACAUAUGUUGUCAAUGUAUGUGUUUUUAUGAAAAAUUCAAAGUUCUUAUCAAAAUGUGAUAAGACUGUAAAAUUCUACUGUUCUUUUCUCUGUAAAAAUAAAUUUUUC